UUUUAAGACUCACAUUGACCAUCUCCAAACCGAACUUCGAGCUGCAAGAGAGGCCCUGUUGGCAGCGUCUGUUGGCAUUCAAACGGAGGCAUGCUGCUGCAGCACUACCGGCAUCAUUGACAUUGCCUUUUCAGACAAAGCUUGUCCGUAGGACAAUGCCCAAGAGAGUGCUAAGAGAGUGCUGAGAGAGUGCUUGAAGAAAAACUACAUGAGAUUCGAAAAUAACGGCAAUAUUGAAGAGCUACAGCUUAUAAUUGAGAAACUUAAACAAGAGCUGGCUGUAAAGGAGGAGGCCCUCAUCAAUCGGGGUGCGUUGCUGUCUGUGGGGAAUCAGACUGAGGAACUGGCCUGCUGCACCACUGGUUUUGUGUGUUGUGCCAGCGAGGUGCUGUACUCUGCUCAGGUCGACUGAUUCCCCAACACGAGAAGUGUGUCAAGACCUCAUUAGUGAGUUACAUAAUGUUC